UUAUCACUUAGAGGAAGGAGAAGUCAGUCGUAACAAGGUUUCCGUAGGUGAACCUGCGGAAGGAUCAUUC
rnacentral:rRNA from 1 species